GUGUAAUGAAUGCAGUGUGUGUGUCAGUGUAGUGAAUGCAGUGUGUGUGUCAGUGUAGUGAAUGCAGAGUGUGUGUCAGUGUAGUGAAUGCAGAGUGUGUGUCAGUGUAGUGAAUGCAGAGUGUGUAUGUCAGUGUAGUGAAUGCAGAGUGUGUAUGUCAGUGUAGUGAAUGCAGAGUGUGUUUUAGUGUAGUGAAUGCAGUGUGUGUGUGUGUCAGUGUAGUGAAUGCAUGUAGUGUAAAUGGAGCAUUCCAAAAAUGUUAUUUCCCC